rnacentral:lncRNA from 1 species
CAGACGUCACGAAACGUCAUCAGAAGUGUCCACUUCAUUUCAGGGCUGAGGGGAUAGGGUGUGUCUUUUAAGAGUUUGGAUCAGUAGCGCUGUGAAAACUGCAUCGGAGCUCCGGUAUUGAUCGUUCCAUCACUACUCAAGCCUAGAGAGGGAAAAAGGGGCACUCUGGAAUCUCUGCGCCUGCAGCUGCACCUCUGAGAUGAGACCCUCCGCCACUACCAACCAUUAUCAGAGCUGCUUUGCCAAUCCAUGGGCCACCAUCUUAAUAGUGUCAAUGAGCUGAAUCAGUGGCUCCUGGCCCUGAGGAAAGCCUGCAGCCACAACAGACACUCCUUCCACCCAGGGGUUUACACAGGAGAAUGAUGGAGCUGCUGCCACCAGAAGGACAAAGCAGGUGCGGGGGGCUGCCAUAAUCAACAUCCACAGCGCUUGGGGAACAGUGGGUUAACUGCCUUGCUCAGGGGCAGAACAACAGAUUUCUACCUUGUCAGCAAGGGGAUUCGAUCCAGCAACCUUUCGUUUACUGGUCCAACGCUCGAACCACUAGGCUACCUGCCACACAAGGUGCUAGCCCUCCUGGGCAGCUACUUGGUGUGCAGGUUUUUGUACCAGCCCUACUCUUAACAACGAUUCAGCAAAUCGAGCUCCCGGUGACCAGCUGAUUACUUAAAUCAGACCAAGGAUGUGACAAGAUCAAACAUGGGGUGACAUUACAGGAGUUGUACGAUCCCCUCGACCCAGACCUGGAAUACCAGCUUAUCUACCGGCACCUUAUUGGAGUCCAACAAGCUAUGAGGUGAGAAGAAGCUGGACGGGGUCACAAGGUUGUUCAGUGUCCUACAGGACCUGCAGGACUCUCACACUGCAGUGGAGGAGGGGAGGUCAAAGAAUAUAAACUUUCUUCUGGAGCGGCAAACGUAACAGAACGUCAACUCAACAGGCAGUUUUCAGGCCUAGGAUGUCCCAAAUGAUACUCCCUCAUCCCCUUUAUAGUGCAUACAAAGAUAUCCCAAAAAUGCAUACAAAGAUAACCCAAACCCAUUCCCUCCUCAGUCC